ensembl:lncRNA
GGGUUGAUGCAAUUUUGUCAUACUCUUUUGAAAAACAACUGCUGGUGUUAGGUCUAGGGUGUGAGCUGAAUCUGUGUGCGCUGUCCUUGGUCACAGCUGGAUAACCUUCAGCAAGUCAUUUCACGGAGCUGUGCCCUGCUUCCCACUUGCAGAAGGCCUGGGUUGGUCAACCUGCAAACGGAGCUGGCAACCCUCAGCCUCACUGUGAUGCACAGGUGAGUAUAGGCAAGCAGCCCUGGAACCGUCAGGAGUUUUGGAUGAGGAAGGGUAGGCAGCCAGAGGGAGUCCAAGGAGAAGGAAGGAAAGGUGUAAGUAAGUGUAAUUUUGCAUCGAAAGGACCCAAGACAAAACAUGCAUUGCAUCAGAUGCCUGUACGUGUACUGCUGCUUUUUGCCUUUUGUCCCUGCUGACUGUACUGGUGUUGCUGGCGUUGUGCUCCUCACUGCCAGAGCUGGUGCUUUCCCAGCUGAAAAAGUAAUCUACCUGCAACAGGCCAUGGAUCCCAAACUGCAGUCCAUUUCAAACAAACCCUCCAGGAAGAGGUCUCCUCUUCCAGAUGCUGCUCACCUUCAGAUCAUCAGCCCCGAACUGAAAGGCUUCUGCAAACCACUAUGCUGACUCAGCUAGACCUCUAAUCUCAGCUGGAUACACAAGUCCUCAAAGGCUGUUUGAAUCCUCCUGUGACUCUCUUGUGAGGAAAACUGAUACAUCUUCUGACGCUUCACAUCACAGUUACCAGUAUCAGACAGUGCUAAAGUAACCCCAGGGUAGUGGCUUUUCUGUGCUGUGUCAUCACCAUGCAGGAUGCACUGCCAUUGUGGCAGGAAAGGAUAAAACACUGGGUCAUCGUUGUUUCAUUGCAGGGUGCUUUUCUGUCCUAACAGCAAGAGGAAAUGAUCUCAGGAAGAAAGUAAAAGGAAGACAAAAGAUAAGGAAGAUAAGCUACUUGAAACUGGGCUUCUGAAAGAUUAUACCAAAAAAUUCCACCUUGGGAAGCUGCAAUUCUUAUAUACGGAAGAAUAUUAGAAGGGUAUUCGUGUGAUAACUGCAGCUUCUUUCUUUCAGUUCAACUCAGUAAUUUGUAUUGACAUGACACGCAUUGCCUAAACUUAAGAGACAAAAUCAUUGAGCAUCUGUCAUAGGUCAAAAUAAUAUAUCACGUAUCAGCUCUGAACUGGGUUUACACAGUGGCAACCACUUAAUCAGUCCAGUCGUGCAUUACUAAUGAACUCAUUACAGCAGUAUCUGAGUGCACCACUAUCCAGUCCCAAGUUUUACACUGUAUCUAUUAGGCAUUAAUAUCACAUGCCGCUUGCUUCUCCAUGCUUUUAAUAUUUGUACAUGGCACCUCAAUAUGCUGUCAAAGCAUCCAUUAAUUCACCACUGAGAAGCAAGAAAGCAUUACUGCCCUUGGAUUAUAGAUCAGAAAACAGUAGUGGAGAGAUUAUAUGAUUUGCCCAAGGCUAUAAAACCAGACACUUUCAGAUGAGGUUCAUUUCCAAAAGUCUGCACUGGGACUGCUAAUCCUUACUUGCCUGUCUAUAUUCAAAUGCCUGUUUUACCAAGAAUUAAAUGUAAAAUGGACUGACAGUAUGUCUGCAUCGAAUCACACCUCCCAUAUUUUCUAUAUGUUUCUGCUUUAUUUGACAUGGUUUAUUCUUUGUUCUCUUUUUUAACCAGAGCAAAUCUCUAGCAGCCUCACAGUAAAGGUAAA